CCUACGGGGGGCAGCAGUAGGGAAUUUUCGUCAAUGGGCGCAAGCCUGAACGAGCAAUGCCGCGUGAACGAGGAAGGUCUUCGGAUCGUAAAGUUCUGUUGAAGGGGAAAAAGAGCGGAGAGAGGAAAUGGUCUCCGAUUGAUAUUACCCUUCGAGGAAGUCACGGCUAACUACGUGCCAGCAGCCGCGGUAAUACGUAGGUGGCGAGCGUUAUCCGGAAUGAUUGGGCGUAAAGGGUGCGUAGGCGGCCUGCUAAGUCUGGAGUGAAAGGUACCGGCUCAACCGGUACAGGCUCUGGAAACUGG
rnacentral:rRNA from 1 species